GGAUUAGAUACCCUGGUAGUCCACGCCGUAAACGAUGUCUACUAGCCGUUGGGGGGCUUGACCCUUUAGUGGCGCAGCUAACGCGAUAAGUAGACCGCCUGGGGAGUACGGUCGCAAGAUUAAAACUCAAAUGAAUUGACGGGGGCCCGCACAAGCGGUGGAGCAUGUGGUUUAAUUCGAUGCAACGCGAAAAACCUUACCAGGCCUUGACAUCCUGAGAACUUUCUAGAGAUAGAUCGGUGCCUUCGGGAACUCAGUGACAGGUGUUGCAUGGCUGUCGUCAGCUCGUGCUG
rnacentral:rRNA from 1 species